rnacentral:rRNA from 1 species
AAUGAACGCUGGCGGCAGGCCUAACACAUGCAAGUCGAACGAGUGGCGGACGGGUGAGUAAUGUCUGGUAAACUGCCUGAUGGAGGGGGAUAACUACUGGAAACGGUAGCUAAUACCGCAUACCAUCAGAUGUUCCCAGCUGGGGAUAGCCAGUUGGUGGGUUAACUGCUCCCCAAGGCGACGAUCCCUAGCUGGUCUGAGAGGAUGACCAGCCACACUGGAACUGAGACACGGUCCAGGCUCCUACGGAAGGCAGCAGUGGGGAAUAUGGCACGAUGGGCGCAAGCCUGAUGCAGCCAUGCCGCGUGUAUGAAGAAGGCCUUCGGGUUGUAAAGUACUUUCAGCGGGGAGGCGUUACCCGCAGAAGAAGCACCGGCUAACUCCGUGCCAGCAGCCGCGGUAAUUC